UCCUACGGGAGGCAGCAGUGAGGAAUAUUGCGCAAUGGGGGCAACCCUGACGCAGCGACGCCGCGUGAGUGAGGAAGGCCUUCGGGUCGUAAAGCUCUGUCAAGAGGAAAGAAGUGCAUAAUGGUUAAUACCUGUUAUGUUUGACGGUACCUCUAAAGGAAGCACCGGCUAACUCCGUGCCAGCAGCCGCGGUAAUACGGAGG
rnacentral:rRNA from 1 species